UGGAGUAUGUGGUUUAAUUCGACGCAACGCGCAGAACCUUACCUAGGCUUGACAUCCGGGAAUUUGCUGGAAACAGUGAAGUGCUUUCAUUAGAAAGAGCCCGGUGACAGGUUGCUGCAUGGCUGUCGUCAGCUCGUGUCGUGAGAUGUUGGGUUAAGUCCCGCAACGAGCGCAACCCUCGCCUUUAGUUGCCAGCAUUCAGUUGGGCACUCUAAAGGGACUGCCGGUGUCAAACCGGAGGAAGGUGGGAUGACGUCAAGUCCUCAUGGCCUUUAUGUCUAGGGCUACACACGUACUACAAUGGCAGGUACAAAGGGCAGCGACACAGCGAUGUGAUGCGAAUCCCGAAAAGCCUGUCUCAGUCCGGAUCGGAGUCUGCAACUCGACUCCGUGAAGUUGGAAUCGCUAGUAAUCGUGGAUCAGCAUGCCACGGUGAAUACGUUCCCGGGCCUU
rnacentral:rRNA from 1 species